rnacentral:rRNA from 1 species
GACGAACCGUGCAAACGUUGUUCGGAAUCACUGGGCUUAAAGGGCGCGUAGGCGGGUUGGCAAGUCUGUGGUGAAAGCCCCCAGCUUAACUGGGGAAGUGCCGUGGAUACUGCGAGUCUUGAGGAGGGUAGGGGCAUCUGGAACACUGGGUGGAGCGGUGAAAUGCGUUGAUAUCCAGUGGAACUCCGGUGGCGAAGGCGAGGUGCUGGACCCUUUCUGACGCUGAUGCGCGAAAGCCAGGGGAGCAAACGGG